rnacentral:rRNA from 1 species
GGGUUGUGAGGUUAAGCGACUAAGCGUACACGGUGGAUGCCCUGGCAGUCAGAGGCGAUGAAGGGCGUGCUAAUCUGCGAUAAGCGCCGGUAAGGUGAUAUGAACCGUUAUAACCGGCGAUACCCGAAUGGGGAAACCCAGUGUGACUCGUCACACUAUCAUUAACUGAAUCCAUAGGUUAAUGAGGCGAACCGGGGGAACUGAAACAUCUAAGUACCCCGAGGAAAAGAAAUCAACCGAGAUUCCCCCAGUAGCGGCGAGCGAACGGGGAGGAGCCCAGAGCCUGAAUCAGCAUGUGUGUUAGUGGAAGCGUCUGGAAAGACGCGCGAUACAGGGUGACAGCCCCGUACACAAAAGCGCAUGUGUUGUGAGCUCGAUGAGUAGGGCGGGACACGUGGUAUCCUGUCUGAAUAUGGGGGGACCAUCCUCCAAGGCUAAAUACUCCUGACUGACCGAUAGUGAACCAGUACCGUGAGGGAAAGGCGAAAAGAACCCCGGCGAGGGGAGUGAAAAAGAACCUGAAACCGUGUACGUACAAGCAGUGGGAGCCCCACCACUAAGCCAGUGGUGAACUCCACAUACGCAUCCUUUGCUGAGGAUACGGUUAACGGAGCGAAAGCGACGUUCAACCGCAAAAGAAGCAGAGGGGGCUUAGUGGUGGGGUGACUGCGUACCUUUUGUAUAAUGGGUCAGCGACUUAUAUUCUGUAGCAAGGUUAACCGUAUAGGGGAGCCGUAGGGAAACCGAGUCUUAACCGGGCGUUAAGUUGCAGGGUAUAGACCCGAAACCCGGUGAUCUAGCCAUGGGCAGGUUGAAGGUUGGGUAACACUAACUGGAGGACCGAACCGACUAAUGUUGAAAAAUUAGCGGAUGACCUGUGGCUGGGGGUGAAAGGCCAAUCAAACCGGGAGAUAGCUGGUUCUCCCCGAAAGCUAUUUAGGUAGCGCCUCGUGAAUUCAUCUCCGGGGGUAGAGCACUGUUUCGGCUAGGGGGCCAUCCCGGCUUACCAACCCGAUGCAAACUGCGAAUACCGGAGAAUGUUAUCACGGGAGACACACGGCGGGUGCUAACGUCCGUCGUGAAGAGGGAAACAACCCAGACCGCCAGCUAAGGUCCCAAAGUCAUGGUUAAGUGGGAAACGAUGUGGGAAGGCCCAGACAGCCAGGAUGUUGGCUUAGAAGCAGCCAUCAUUUAAAGAAAGCGUAAUAGCUCACUGGUCGAGUCGGCCUGCGCGGAAGAUGUAACGGGGCUAAACCAUGCACCGAAGCUGCGGCAGCGACACUCAGGUGUUGUUGGGUAGGGGAGCGUUCUGUAAGCCUGUGAAGGUGUGUCGUGAGGCAUGCUGGAGGUAUCAGAAGUGCGAAUGCUGACAUAAGUAACGAUAAAGCGGGUGAAAAGCCCGCUCGCCGGAAGACCAAGGGUUCCUGUCCAACGUUAAUCGGGGCAGGGUGAGUCGACCCCUAAGGCGAGGCCGAAAGGCGUAGUCGAUGGGAAACGGGUUAAUAUUCCCGUACUUGGUGUUACUGCGAAGGGGGGACGGAGAAGGCUAUGUUGGCCGGGCGACGGUUGUCCCGGUUUAAGCGUGUAGGUGUGUGUUCCAGGUAAAUCCGGUUCACUUUAACACUGAGGCGUGAUGACGAGGCACUACGGUGCUGAAGCAACAAAUGCCCUGCUUCCAGGAAAAGCCUCUAAGCAUCAGGUAACAUCAAAUCGUACCCCAAACCGACACAGGUGGUCAGGUAGAGAAUACCAAGGCGCUUGAGAGAACUCGGGUGAAGGAACUAGGCAAAAUGGUGCCGUAACUUCGGGAGAAGGCACGCUGACACGUAGGUGAAGUGAUUUACUCAUGGAGCUGAAGUCAGUCGAAGAUACCAGCUGGCUGCAACUGUUUAUUAAAAACACAGCACUGUGCAAACACGAAAGUGGACGUAUACGGUGUGACGCCUGCCCGGUGCCGGAAGGUUAAUUGAUGGGGUCAGCGCAAGCGAAGCUCCUGAUCGAAGCCCCGGUAAACGGCGGCCGUAACUAUAACGGUCCUAAGGUAGCGAAAUUCCUUGUCGGGUAAGUUCCGACCUGCACGAAUGGCGUAAUGAUGGCCAGGCUGUCUCCACCCGAGACUCAGUGAAAUUGAACUCGCUGUGAAGAUGCAGUGUACCCGCGGCAAGACGGAAAGACCCCGUGAACCUUUACUAUAGCUUGACACUGAACAUUGAGCCUUGAUGUGUAGGAUAGGUGGGAGGCUUUGAAGCGUGGACGCCAGUCUGCGUGGAGCCGACCUUGAAAUACCACCCUUUAAUGUUUGAUGUUCUAACGUGGACCCGUUACCCGGGUUGCGGACAGUGUCUGGUGGGUAGUUUGACUGGGGCGGUCUCCUCCUAAAGAGUAACGGAGGAGCACGAAGGUUGGCUAAUCCUGGUCGGACAUCAGGAGGUUAGUGCAAUGGCAUAAGCCAGCUUGACUGCGAGCGUGACGGCGCGAGCAGGUGCGAAAGCAGGUCAUAGUGAUCCGGUGGUUCUGAAUGGAAGGGCCAUCGCUCAACGGAUAAAAGGUACUCCGGGGAUAACAGGCUGAUACCGCCCAAGAGUUCAUAUCGACGGCGGUGUUUGGCACCUCGAUGUCGGCUCAUCACAUCCUGGGGCUGAAGUAGGUCCCAAGGGUAUGGCUGUUCGCCAUUUAAAGUGGUACGCGAGCUGGGUUUAGAACGUCGUGAGACAGUUCGGUCCCUAUCUGCCGUGGGCGCUGGAGAACUGAGGGGGGCUGCUCCUAGUACGAGAGGACCGGAGUGGACGCAUCACUGGUGUUCGGGUUGUCAUGCCAAUGGCACUGCCCGGUAGCUAAAUGCGGAAGAGAUAAGUGCUGAAAGCAUCUAAGCACGAAACUUGCCCCGAGAUGAGUUCUCCCUGAGACUUAGAGUCUCCUGAAGGAACGUUGAAGACGACGACGUUGAUAGGCCGGGUGUGUAAGCGCAGCGAUGCGUUGAGCUAACCGGUACUAAUGAACCGUGAGGCUUAACCUUACAACGCCGAAG